rnacentral:lncRNA from 1 species
AUCUGUCACCGUGUUUAGGACAGGCUCUUCAGAAUGCGCUGGGCCAAACGUGGGAGCCUAAGGAGAAAGAGUUAUCUAAAACAGUUGCUAUUUCAGUCUAGAACUUGAAGUUAAAAAUGUUCGAGCGGAAAAAAAAAAGUUUAAAAAUAUAGAUGUGUAUUUUUUUAAAACCCCAU